UUUUAAACGAAGAUGCUCAAGUAGAGAUUUUGGGAACAUUCGUUGCAGAACCCACCAAUUCUCUCCGUACAGUAGCACGUCUAACUGGAAUGUCACAUGAAACUGAACUUCAUGAGGACGAUUUUGAUAGGAGAAUAGAGUUUUGCGAAAUUAUGUCCAACUUAAUAAACACUCGUGCAAUUGUGACAGAAUUGUCGAUACUGGAGUGAGGACAAUCCCCACAUUUUCAGAGAGGGUGCUACACAGCGGCCACAAAAAAUUAAUGUUUGGGCCGGUAUUCUUGGAAAUGCUGUUAUAGGACCGUUGUUUAUUGAACAAAACUUAACUGGAGAGCUCUACUUACACCUACUUGAAGAUGUAAUUGAUCCUUUGAUAACAACUGAACUGGAAAAUCAAGUUGGUAACAUUUUGCAAGAAAACGAACUACACUUUCAGCAAGAUGGAGCUACGCCGCAUUAUUUUCGGCCAGUGCGGGAGUGGUUGAAUAACAGAUUCCCUAACCAAUGGAUUGGUAGAAGGGGACCGAUAGAAUGGCCUGCUAGGUCACCAGACUUAACGCCGUUAGAUUUUUUUUUUAUGGGGGCACAUAAAAUCGGUUGUUUACAAAACUCAGCCUGAUGAUAUCGAAGAUUUAAAAAGAAGAAUUACAGAGGCAAGUAGGGCUAUUCCAGAAGAGGUAUUUCAGAAUGUUCGGGAAGAAUUUGAGAAUAGACUUUAUUUUUGUUUGGAGAACAAUUGAGAACACUUUGAACACCUCUUAAAGUAGAUGUGUUAAUAAAAUAAAUUUUAGGCGUGCUUUUGUAAAGACCAUAAUUGUAACGGCUAUGCAAAUGUUUAGUAAAAAUAAUAUUAACCUAAAUAACAUGUUUCAAUGUAAUAUUAACCUAAAUAACAUGUUUCAAUGCAAAUCAUAGCUUUAACGUAUUUAAAACACUUACAGGAAUAAUGUUUAAUAAUAAGUAAUUUAACAAUGUUUAAAUAA